rnacentral:rRNA from 1 species
CAGAGCACUCCUACGGGAGGCAGCAGUGGGGAAUUUUGCGCAAUGGGGGAAACCCUGACGCAGCAACGCCGCGUGGAGGACGAAGGCCUUUGGGUUGUAAACUCCUGUCAGCAGGGAAGAAAUAAUCGGUUCUUAAUCGCUCCGGUCUUGACGGUACCUGCAGAGGAAGCACCGGCUAACUACGUGCCAGCAGCCGCGGUAAUACGUAGGGUGCAAGCGUUGUUCGGAAUUAUUGGGCGUAAAGCGUGCGUAGGUGGAUCGGGAAGUCAGGUGUGAAAGCCCACAGCUUAACUGUGGAAUUGCGCUUGAAACUCCCAGUCUUGAGGAUGGUAGAGGCAGGUGGAAUACCUAGUGUAGAGGUGAAAUUCGUAGAUAUUAGGUGGAACACUCGUGGCGAAGGCGGCCUGCUGGGCCACUCCUGACACUGAGGCACGAAAGCAUGGGUAGCAAACAGGAUUAGAUACCCUGGUAG